ACUGAGAAGAUAGUGGCGAACGGGUGAGUAACACGUGGGUAACCUGCCCAUAAGAGGGGGGAUAACAUCCGGAAACGGGUGCUAAUACCGCAUAGUUUUCUUGAUCGCAUGAUUGAGAAAGGAAAGACGGCCUUUGUGCUGUCGCUUAUGGAUGGACCCGCGGCGUAUUAGUUAGUUGGUGAGGUAACGGCUCACCAAGACGAUGAUACGUAGCCGACCUGAGAGGGUGAUCGGCCACAUUGGGACUGAGACACGGCCCAAACUCCUACGGGAGGCAGGCAGUAGGGAAUCUUCCGCAACGGACAAAGUCUGACGGAGCAACGCCGCGUGAGUGAAGAAGGUUUUUCCGGAUCGUAAAACUCUGUUGUCAGAGAAGAACAAGUUGGAGAGUAACUGCUCCAGCCUUGACGGUAUCUGACCAGAGAGCCACGGCUAACUACGUGCCAGCAGCCGC
rnacentral:rRNA from 1 species